rnacentral:piRNA from 1 species
UCAUGAGCUCUAGACCAGGAAGCAGG